GUUGUAUGGUUAAGUGACUAAGCGUACACGGUGGAUGCCUUGGCAGUCAGAGGCGAUGAAAGACGUAGUAACUUGCGAUAAGCCCAGAUUAGGUAGUAACAACCAUUUGAGUCUGGGAUUUCUGAAUGGGGAAACCCACGUGCAUAAGCACGUAUCCUUACCUGAAUACAUAGGGUAAGGAGGCGAACCGGGGGAACUGAAACAUCUAAGUACCCGAGGAAAAGAAAUCAACCGAGAUUCCGAAAGUAGCGGCGAGCGAAAUUGGACUAGCCCUUAAGCUUUACACGCGUUAGACGAACGGUCUGGAAAGUCCGACGAUACAGGGUGAUAGUCCCGUAGUUGACGACGUGUGUUCAGUGAAAUCGAGUAGGGCGGGACACGUGAUAUCCUGUCUGAAUAUGGGGGGACCAUCCUCCAAGGCUAAAUACUACUGACUGACCGAUAGUGAACCAGUACCGUGAGGGAAAGGCGAAAAGAACCCCUGUGAGGGGAGUGAAAUAGAACCUGAAACCGUGUACGUACAAGCAGUAGGAGCAGGCUUGUCCUGUGACUGCGUACCUUUUGUAUAAUGGGUCAGCGACUUAUAUUCAGUGGCAAGGUUAACCAUCUAGGGGAGCCGUAGGGAAACCGAGUCUUAACUGGGCGUUCAGUCUCUGGAUAUAGACCCGAAACCAGGUGAUCUAGCCAUGGGCAGGUUGAAGGUUGAGUAACAUCAACUGGAGGACCGAACCGACUAAUGUUGAAAAAUUAGCGGAUGACUUGUGGCUAGGGGUGAAAGGCCAAUCAAACCUGGAGAUAGCUGGUUCUCCCCGAAAGCUAUUUAGGUAGCGCCUCGGACGAAUACUACUGGGGGUAGAGCACUGUUAAGGCUAGGGGGUCAUCCCGACUUACCAACCCUUUGCAAACUCCGAAUACCAGUAAGUACUAUCCGGGAGACACACGGCGGGUGCUAACGUCCGUCGUGGAGAGGGAAACAACCCAGACCGCCAGCUAAGGUCCCAAAUUACUACUAAGUGGGAAACGAUGUGGGAAGGCUCAGACAGCCAGGAUGUUGGCUUAGAAGCAGCCAUCAUUUAAAGAAAGCGUAAUAGCUCACUGGUCGAGUCGGCCUGCGCGGAAGAUGUAACGGGGCUAAGUAGUAAACCGAAGCUGCGGCAAUAUACUUUUGUAUAUUGGGUAGGGGAGCGUUCUGUAAGCGGUUGAAGGUGUGUGGUAACGCAUGCUGGACGUAUCAGAAGUGCGAAUGCUGACAUGAGUAACGAUAAAGGGGGUGAAAAACCUCCUCGCCGGAAGACCAAGGGUUCCUGUCCAACGUUAAUCGGGGCAGGGUAAGUCGACCCCUAAGGCGAGGCCGAAAGGCGUAGUCGAUGGGAAACGGGUUAAUAUUCCCGUACUUCUUACAAUUGCGAUGGGGGGACGGAGAAGGCUAGGUGGGCCUGGCGACGGUUGUCCAGGUUCAAGUGCGUAGGCUUAAGAGUUAGGUAAAUCCGGCUCUUUUUAAGGCUGAGACACGACGUCGAGCUACUACGGUAGUGAAGUCAUUGAUGCCAUGCUUCCAGGAAAAGCCUCUAAGCUUCAGAUUGUAAGGAAUCGUACCCCAAACCGACACAGGUGGUCGGGUAGAGAAUACCAAGGCGCUUGAGAGAACUCGGGUGAAGGAACUAGGCAAAAUGGUACCGUAACUUCGGGAGAAGGUACGCUCUCGACGGUGAAGUCCCUCGCGGAUGGAGCUAUUGAGAGUCGCAGAUACCAGGUGGCUGCAACUGUUUAUUAAAAACACAGCACUGUGCAAAAUCGUAAGAUGACGUAUACGGUGUGACGCCUGCCCGGUGCCGGAAGGUUAAUUGAUGGGGUUAGACUUCGGUCGAAGCUCUUGAUCGAAGCCCCGGUAAACGGCGGCCGUAACUAUAACGGUCCUAAGGUAGCGAAAUUCCUUGUCGGGUAAGUUCCGACCUGCACGAAUGGCGUAAUGAUGGCCACGCUGUCUCCACCCGAGACUCAGUGAAAUUGAAAUCGCUGUGAAGAUGCAGUGUACCCGCGGCUAGACGGAAAGACCCCGUGAACCUUUACUACAGCUUGGCACUGAACAUUGACCCUACAUGUGUAGGAUAGGUGGGAGGCUUUGAAGCACGUACGCCAGUAUGUGUGGAGCCGUCCUUGAAAUACCACCCUUGUAGUGUUGAUGUUCUAACGUCGACCCCUUAUCGGGGUUGCGGACAGUGCCUGGUGGGUAGUUUGACUGGGGCGGUCUCCUCCCAAAGAGUAACGGAGGAGCACGAAGGUGGGCUAAUCACGGUUGGACAUCGUGAGGUUAGUGCAAUGGCAUAAGCCCGCUUGACUGCGAGAAUGACAAUUCGAGCAGGUGCGAAAGCAGGUCAUAGUGAUCCGGUGGUUCUGAAUGGAAGGGCCAUCGCUCAACGGAUAAAAGGUACUCCGGGGAUAACAGGCUGAUACCGCCCAAGAGUUCAUAUCGACGGCGGUGUUUGGCACCUCGAUGUCGGCUCAUCACAUCCUGGGGCUGAAGUCGGUCCCAAGGGUAUGGCUGUUCGCCAUUUAAAGUGGUACGCGAGCUGGGUUUAGAACGUCGUGAGACAGUUCGGUCCCUAUCUGCCGUGGGCGUUGGAAGAUUGAAGGGGGCUGCUCCUAGUACGAGAGGACCGGAGUGGACGAACCUCUGGUGUUCGGGUUGUGUCGCCAGACGCAUUGCCCGGUAGCUAAGUUCGGAAUCGAUAACCGCUGAAAGCAUCUAAGCGGGAAGCGAGCCCUGAGAUGAGUCUUCCCUGAUACUUUAAGUAUCCUAAAGGGUUGUCGGAGACUACGACGUUGAUAGGUCAGGUGUGUAAGUGCUGUGAGGCAUUGAGCUAACUGAUACUAAUUGCCCGUGAGGCUUAACCAUACAACACCCAAGGGGUUU
rnacentral:rRNA from 1 species